rnacentral:rRNA from 1 species
UACGUAGGGUGCAAGCGUUGUCCGGAAUUAUUGGGCGUAAAGAGCUCGUAGGCGGUUUGUUGCGUCGGCUGUGAAAUCCCGAGGCUCAACCUCGGGUCUGCAGUCGAUACGAGCAAACUAGAGUGUUGCAGGGGAGACUGGAAUUCCUGGUGUAGCGGUGAAAUGCGCAGAUAUCAGGAGGAACACCGGUGGCGAAGGCGGUUCUCUGGGCAUUACCUGACGCUGAGGAGCGAAAGUGUGGGGAGCGAACAGGA